UGGGUGGAUCACGAGGUCAGGAGUUCAAGACCAGCCUGGUCAACAUGGUGAAACCCUGUCUUUACUAAAAAUACAAAAAUUAGCUGGGCGUGGUGGUGGGCGCCUGUAGUCCCAGCUACUCAGGAGGCUGAGGCAGAGAAUUGCUUGCACCCGGGAGGCAGAGGUUGCAGCGAGCCAAGAUCGCGCUACUGCACUCCAGCCUGGGUGACAGAGUGAAACUCCACCACGCCCUCUGCCUCAGCUCCCCCCCCACCAAAAAGCCCAUGCUGCAGAUUGUCACAGGGUCUGGUCUCUGUCUCCUGCUUGGCCCUGGGUGGGCCCCCUCAAGACCCUUGCCUGAAGCCGAGCGAGGUGGCUUACGCCUAUAAUCCCAGCACUUUGGGAGGCUGAGGCUGGAGGAUCACUUGAGCUCAGGAGUUCAAGACCAGCCUGGGAAACAAAGUGAGACCAUCUUUACACAAAAUUAAAGAAUUAGCUGAGCAUGUUGGCACAUGCCUGUAGUCCCAGCUACUCGGGAGGCUGAAAUGGGAAGAGAGCUUGAGGCCAGGAAGUUGAGGCUGUAGUAAGCCAUGUUCACACCACUGUACUCUAGCCUGGGUGACAUACUGAGACCCUGUCUCAACAAAACGAAACAAAACAAAACAAAACAAAACGCUUCCCUGAGAGCAGGCCUCCUCUCUAUCAAGGGUGGGUGAUCACCUGCACAGCCUGACCUGGAAGGCCUUGGCUGCCCUUCCAGGGGUUUACCCCCACUUAAGCCCCCGUCCCUAAGUCCAACUUCUGCCAGGCCCUCCUGGCAGCUGCCUGUUUCUCCCUUCACCUGGUAACCAGGCUUUGGGUGUUCACAGAGCCUGGCAGGUUCACAGUCCUUCUGGCAGGUGACAUUGCAGUUGCUGCCAGAAGUUUCCUGCCCCCUCCUCAACGAAUAUUUUUAAAAACUUGCUGAGGUGUACAGGGAUGAUGAUUAACCUUUAUUAAGCCCCCACAGCCUGCGGGUGCUGAGAAUAUCCGUGGGCCUUCACCUUUCCAGCAAGAACACAGAGGGGCCUCCCUCUGGGGGAAGUUUAGGGACACAGGUGUGGAAACUUCUGGAUGCCUGCUCUUGUGAGUUCACCUCUAUGUCUACUCUACUGAGGCCUCUCCAUACAGGUAGAGUGACUUGUGGGAGGCCUGUUACAUCCUCAGGCCACACCUGGUAAGGGAAACCCAGACAUUGAACAGAGCCUGUGACCUCCCAGAGGAGCUAAGCACCCUUCCAGCUCUGACAUCGUACAGUUGGCUCUAAUAGGUCUCAGUUUCCUGCCUUCCUGGGAAGUAGGGAAAGGCUGAGAGGCCCCGUGCUGGGGGCGAAGCUAAUUCAUUAGUUACGCCUCAACAAGGACCGGGUGCCUGCAGUGCCAGCGUGAUUCAUCAUGAUGAUUGCCCCACUGCCAGCCUGCGUGGGCCUGGAACGCCAGCACAUUUUACCUUUACCCACUGAGAAGGGCCUGGUGGGAGGUGAAGGUACAGGAUCUGCCGAGAGCAAGAAAAAGACUCUGAGAAAGAAGAGGGCUGGUCCUCCAUGCUCUCGGCCCCAGGAAGCUCUGCCAGGCUGGUGCCGGGGUGGAGAGGCUCAUGUGGGCUCAUGUGGUGCUGCCCGUGCUGAUGGAGCCCAAGAGGGCAGCCUGGCGCUGGGUGCCAGCCUGAGCAUGUGGCGAGGCUGGGCUGCUGAGCCUCCUCCUCCACAGCCAAUGUUCCCUCAAACUGCUUGGGGGCGGGGGGAGGGACUCAUCCUCAUCCCAUUAGCCUGGCUGGGUAUUCCCUACCUUUCUGGUCUCUGAGAGACUUACCUCUUCCAAGAAGUCCUCCCGAAUGAGUAGAAGGGAGAGAGCUGGAUUGGAACUUAAGUGACAUCUGGGAGGAGCCUGAAGCCCCUCCAGUUGGGGCUGAGACUCCUAUACCCUAGGUCUGGUGUCUGGGUUCCACCUGGGUCCUCUACCUUGGCCUGGAUUCCUGCUUUCGUUUUGCCAGUCUCUCCCAGGAUGGGGGUGCAUGGCUGGUUCGUGGCUCAGAGCAACAUCUGCCUCUGUGUCCCCCCAUCAUCUGUCCGCCCCCUAACACCUCUUGCCAUAUUAGAAUUGCUAUUGCUCUGUCCUUUCAUUCAUGUAUCCAACAAAUAUAUAUUAUCUGAAAAAAAGCAUGUGCUGAAUAAUUUCAUUUGUGUGAAAUUCAAGAACAGAGAAAACUGAUCCAUAAGGAUAGAGGUCAGGAUCAUAGUUGCCUCUGCGAGGUGGGGAUUGACCGCAAGAGGCUUGAGAGAACUCUUGGGUUGAUGGAAAUGGGACAGGGGUGUGUACAUUUGUCAAAACGCAUCCAAGAAGACACUUACGAUCUAUGCAUUUCACUGUAUGCAAUGUUUGCCUCCACUUUUUUUGUUAAGUUUUUUUCAGCAAGGCGCAGUGGCUCAUGCCUAUAAUUCCAGCACUUUGGGAGGCUGAGGCAGGUGGAUCACCUGAGAUCAGGAGUUCGAGACCAGCCUGACCAACAUGGUGAACCCCUGUCUCUACUAAAAUACAAAAAUUAGCUGGGCGUGGUGGUGGGCACCUGUAAUCUCAGCUACUUGCGAGGCUGAGGCAAGAGAAUCGCUUGAACCCAGGAGGCGAGGCGGAGGUUGCAGUGAGCCAAGAUCACGCCAUUGCACUCCAACCUAUGCAACAAGAGCAAAACUCUGUCUCAAAAUAAAUAAAU